rnacentral:lncRNA from 1 species
AUGUUACCUGGCUUCUCAGGUUUGAUUCUGAAUUGUUCAAAAUUUCUUAUUUUCACUUUUAAUCAUUAUUAACAGUUUUUGAAAAGAACAUCUGUGAAAAACAGUAGAUAAAAAUAUGUCAUGACAUUUUAUUUCAGUUUUCAGACAAAAUAUAGUUUUGAAUGAAUGAAGCAUUAAACACUUAUACUGUAUGAUAAAAUAAAAUAAACUACUUUAAAAUACUUUAAUUUAUGUUAUAUUUAUUUUUUUAGACAAAUACCGACUUUUUUUUUUUAAGAUAAAUGAUUUUCAUCAUACUGGACCUCAGUGAUGUCACACUGAUCUAAUCCUGUCAGUGGGUGUGAAACACCUGAUUCAAACACACACUCCACCUGAUUCAAACACACACUCCACCUGAUUCAAACACACACUCCACCUGAUUCAAACACACACUCCACCUGAUUCAAACACACACUCCACCUGAUUCAAACACACACUCCACCUGAUUCAAACACACACUCCACCUGAUUCAAACACACACUCCACCUGAUUCGUGAUCGUGAACGUCUGUUAGAAAUAUAUGAAUGAGUCAAUGCGCGUCCCCGCGACGCGCUCAACCAAUCAGCGGCUCGCACCUGCAGCACUCAGCAGCUCUGCAGCAACAAGAGGUGACAGCGGAAAACGUGCAGAGGACAGCGCGUCGUCCAGCAGCCUGCAGCUCCUCCAGCUCCUCCGGUCGGACCCGUCAGGCCUCCGUGCGCACAGAGACACAGUCGUUAGAGUCCAGAUCAUCAUCUCAGGCUGAAAUGAAAAACAGCAACGCCGUGGCUGUGGAGAGACGCGUGGAUCUGGCCUCGCUCUUCUGCAUGAUCGGCCGUCACGGCCCCGCCGUGGCCCUGGCCGUCGUAGCGAUGGUGUCCGUGCUGGCUGCGUUCAUCAUUUACCGGACCGUGAGGGGGAAGCGGAGGAAGGCCACAGCCACAGCCGCAGCCACAGCCGCCGACGGCGGCGACAGCAGGAGCCCCGGAGCGGUGACGGACGCGCCGUCGAGCCGAGCGCGGCACGAUCCGAGUCCCGAGGAAUCGACCAGCUCUGCGGGCUCAACAGAUGUGAGCGACGAGGCCCCGUCAGACGGGAAGGAGGAUGCUUAUCUGAUUCAGAGUCAUCCCAAUAUCCGACUGCGCCGCGCUGCUCCUGAUCAAAAGAAGCCUCCACCUCCAGAGAGUGACAAGCACGCCGCUACAGAUGACACACAGGUGACGGCAGCCGUGCCAGACGCUAUCACAGAUAGCAGGGAUG